rnacentral:rRNA from 1 species
AAUAACGCAUACAGUGAAUGCCUUGCUUUUCGUCUCCGAAGAAGGACGUACAUAGCCACGAUAGUCGCCGGUUAGCUGCUACGAAGCUUUGACCCGACGGUGUCCGAAUGGGGAAACCCUCUCAGCUUUGCUGGGAACCUUGAAGCCAAAAUGUUAACGCAAGUUAAUGUAUAACUUUAUGAGUGGAAACCACCCGAACUGAAACAUCUAAGUAGGGUGAGGAAUAUAAAUCAAUUGAGAUUGCCUUAGUAGCGGCGAGCGAAACGGCAACAGCCUAAACUUUUUUCGUACUUGUACGAGAAAAGGGUUGCAGGAGUCCAAUGUGGGAUUGAUAUUUGAUAGCAGAAUGGUCUGGAAUGGCCAAUCAAAGAGCGUGAAAAUCGCGUACGCAAAAUCAAAUGUCACUCUAGGACCACCUAAGUACUACGGGGCACAUACCCUGUGGGAAUCUGGGGGAACCAUCCUCCAAGGCUAAAUAAGACGAAAGAGCGAUAGUGAACUAGUACCGUGAGGGAAAGGUGAAAAGCUGGGUGAGACACCCGAUGAAAUAGUACCUGAAACUGUUUGCGAACGAACCGUGAGAGUACCCGUAAGGGUAUGAUCGCGUGCCUAUUGAAGAAUGAGCCGGCGAGUUGUCGUUUGGUGCAGCCUAAGUCCAUUGAUUGGACGUAAGCGUAGUGAAAGCGAGCGUUAAUAGCGCGUUAGUACCACACGGCAGACCCGAAACUGGGUGAGCUAACCAUGAGCAGGGUGAGUAUCACAGAAAUGUGAUAGGAGGCCCGAACCCGUUGUCGUUGCAAUGACUUGGGAUGACUUGUGGUUAGAGGCAAUAUACUUAUCGAACCCAGAGAUAGCUGGUUCUCCCCGAAAGGUCUAUGGGGACCGUGGUCCGUAACGUUCUGUUGGUUGUAGAGCACUGGCUGGGUUGGAGAGGGUAACUGAUUCAACUCAAUCAAACUCCGAAUACUAGCGUGAAUUAUCGAACUAAAAAGCCGCAUCGGGCUAAGCUGAUGCGACGAAAGGGAAACAACCCUUGACUCUCAGUUAAGGCCUCUAAAUCGUAACUAAGUUUGAAAGGAAGUCCUUUCUCUCAGACAGCCAGGAGGUUGGCUCAGAAGCAGCCACCCUUUAAAGAUAGCGUAACAGCUCACUGGUCGAUGAGAGGGGGCGCCUAAGAUUUAUCGAGGAUAAGUUACGUGCCGAAGCUAGAGAUUUUACAUCCAAUUUAUUGGGUGUGGAGUGGUAGGGGAGCGUUCCAACCGCAGUGAAGGUGAACCGGAAGGUUUGCUGGAGCGGUUGGGAGUGAGAAUGUCGGCUUGAGUAGCGCACAAGAAAGGUGAGAAUCCUUUCCGUUGAAUGUCCAAGGUUUCCACUGCAAGAUUCGUUCUCAGUGGGUUAAUCGGUACCUAAGGCGAGGCCAAAUGGCGUAGUCGAUGGAUAAUUGGUCAAAAUUCCAAUAUUUAUACUAAAUCGUUAUUAACUAGGGAUUGACUGAACAGGAGUUUGGGAGCUCUUUAUUGAAUUAGAGUGCAGAAGCUGAAGCAGUUCUGGCUGGAAAAUCCGUCAGAAUGUUUAACUAAAGUGGUGCAAAGUUCUCCGCGAGGAGGGCGAUUCCAAAAUUUUCAGUUUACGAGAAAAGAUUCGUAGUGAGAGUUAGUAUAAGCCGUACCGCAAACCGACACAGGUGGACUGGGGGAGUACCCUAAAACGAUCGAGAGACAAAUCCUCAAGGAACUCGGCAAAAAAACUACCCGUAACUUAGGAAGAUGGGUUGCCUUGGUUAAAAACAAGGCUGCAACUAAAGUUUAUUGGUCGACUGUUUAUCAAAAACACAGGCCCGUGCAAAGGCGAAAGCUGAAGUAUACGGGCUGACGCUUGUCCAGUGCCGGUAAGUUAAGAGGAGAGGUGCUAGCCGCAAGGUUAAUGCUUCGAAUUUAAGCUCCGGUGAACGGCAGCAGUAACUAUAACUGUUCUAAGGUAGCGAAGUUCCUUGCCAGGUAAGUUCUGGCCCGCAUGAAUAGCGUAACGAGCUAAUAACUGUCUUGAGGGUUUACUCGGCGAAAUAGCGAUGGCUGUGAAGACGCGGCCUACUUCUACAUGGACAAAAAGACCCCGUGGAGCUUUACUGUAGGUAGAUAUUGCUUUCAUAUUUUUUGAUUGUCUAGUAUAGGUGGGAGCCGCAAGGCAAAAAUGUAAUACCACUCGUCGGAGAAUGUGAGGCUUACUUAAUUCCGAUUAAGACUCGGAAAAGGAAAGUGUUUGCUGGGCAGUUUUACUGGGGCGGUACCCUGCUAAAUUGUAACGCAGGGACACAAAGGUUGGCUUUCUACCGAUGGAAACGGUAGUUUGAAGCGCAAAGGUUUAAGCCAGCUUGACUGUGAGGGAGAUGUCCCGAACAGGUACGAAAGUAGGUCUUAGUGAUCCUCCGAAGCACAAUGGGUGUGCUCGGAGCUUAAUGGAUAAAAGCUACCCCGGGGAUAACAGAGUAGUCGCGCCCGAGCGUCCAUAGCGACGGCGCGGUUCGCUACCUCGAUGUCGGCUCAUCACAUCCUGGCGCUGAAGAAGGUGCCAAGGGUCGGUCUGUUCGCCCGUUAAAGUGAUACGCGAGCUGGGUUCAGAACGUCGUGAGACAGUUCGGACUCUAUCCUGUAGAAGCGUCGGAAUCUUGAGGAGAGCUGGGGACAGUACGAGAGGACCUCCCUGGAGAAAUCCCUAGUGUGCCGGUUUUUGCGUCAGCAGAAACGCCGGGUAGCUACAUUUCUUUGUGAUAACCGCUGAAAGCAUCUAAGUGGGAAGCCAACUCCAAGAUUAGGAUUCCAUAUUAAAUCCCGGAAAGAAUAUCCGGUUAAUCGGCAGGCACUGGAAGUCCCGUAAGGGAUUAAGGUAACCUGUGCGAAUAGAUUGAUGCUUGCGGU